CCUACGGGUGGCAGCAGUGAGGAAUAUUGGUCAAUGGGCGAGAGCCUGAACCAGCCAAGUCGCGUGAAGGAUGACGGCCCUACGUGUUGUAAACUUCUUUAGUCAGGGAGCAAUUGGGUCCACGCGUGGGCUUAGCGAGAGUACCUGAAGAAAAAGCAUCGGCUAACACCGUGCCAGCGGCCGCGGUAUUACGGGGGACGGGGGGGUUAUCGGGAUUUAUGGGGUUUAAAGGUUGCGUAAGCGGAAUAUCAAGUCAGCGGUAAAAGUUCGGGGUCCAACCCCGUCGUGCCGUUGAAACUGAUGUUCUUGAGUGGGCGAGAGGUAAGCGGAAUUCGUAGUGUAGCGGUGAAAUGCGUAGAUAUCACGCAGAACUCCGAUUGCGAAGGCAGCAUACCGGCGCCCAACUGACGCUGAAGCUCGAAAGCGUGGGUAGCGAACAGGAUUAGAUACCCGGGUAGUC
rnacentral:rRNA from 1 species